rnacentral:rRNA from 1 species
AAUAGAUACCCGGGUAGUCCACGCCGUAAACGAUGAGUGCUAAGUGUUAGAGGGUUUCCGCCCUUUAGUGCUGCAGCUAACGCAUUAAGCACUCCGCCUGGGGAGUACGGCCGCAAGGCUGAAACUCAAAGGAAUUGACGGGGGCCCGCACAAGCGGUGGAGCAUGUGGUUUAAUUCGAAGCAACGCGAAGAACCUUACCAGGUCUUGACAUCCUCUGUUAACCCUAGAGAUAGGGCGUUCCCCUUCGGGGGACAGAGUGACAGGUGGUGCAUGGUUGUCGUCAGCUCGUGUCGUGAGAUGUUGGGUUAAGUCCCGCAACGAGCGCAACCCUUGAUCUUAGUUGCCAGCAUUCAGUUGGGCACUCUAAGGUGACUGCCGGUGAUAAACCGGAGGAAGGUGGGGAUGACGUCAAAUCAUCAUGCCCCUUAUGACCUGGGCUACACACGUGCUACAAUGGAUGGUACAAAGAGCUGCGAACCCGCGAGGGUAAGCGAAUCUCAUAAAGCCAUUCUCAGUUCGGAUUGUAGG